UUUUAAAUGUUAUUAUUUAUAUAUUUAAAAUUUAUAAAACAUUAUUAAUAUUUAAACUUAUAAAAAGUUUGAUAUAUCACAAUUUUUUAACAUCAUUAUAUAAUAUAUAGAGUUUAAAAAAAUCUUAAUUUUUUCCGUCAUAUUUUAUGAUUCAAAAUUUUAAAAAUGAACAUAUAUUAACCAAUUGGCAAAAAAUGUGUGGGUUCAACGUCCCGUAUCGACAAAAAUAUUUAGACAAUGAUUUAUAAACAUAUCAUAAAUAAGAUCAACAUUAAUAUAAAUAAAUGAUUUUUUUACGGGACGGGUUUGGCGGGACGGAUUUGGCAGGACGUUACUUAAUAACAAUUGUAAACUAUAAAAUAAAAAUAUAUUAUAGAUAGAUACAAUUUGCAAAAAAA
rnacentral:sRNA from 1 species